UUUUCUGGAUGCCAUGAAAUGAGAUAUAUUUCACCCACUGAAGACCACCAUUAAGGCAUUCAGGAUUCUAUGUACUGGACUCCUAAUUUGGUGGUAUUUCCUACUGUGGAAUUUAAGAGGGAUAAUCUUAAAACUUUUGUAUGGAAACAGUUUAUUUGAACAUAAAGCUGGUUUCCUGUUAAUAUUUUUGUUUUGUCAGCUUUCAAUGAGUAUAUGUGUUAAAAUGAUUCAGGUUAGCGUUUUUAGGAGGAGGCAAAUGUAUUUUGCAGUUUCCUUUUGUGUAUUUGCAAGUGGUGCAAAUACCUAUCUUUGCUUCCAUUAUUAUUCUGAAAAAUAUUAGGGUGUUGGUGCCAGAAGAAAAGAAUGAUUGAUGGGAAACAGACACCGGGCUAUAGACACUCAUCCUUUUGCUUCAGAUACUGAUAUCUCAGCCUGCCUGAGCAUCCCUUGUGAGCUGUGAACAUUGAGGAUCACUCAGGGUUAUCGGAUGUACAACGGGAGAGCCACCACUUUGCUAAAUUAUUAUCUGCAGUUGGACAUCUUUUACAAAAACCAAACUAGACCUGAGUCUA
rnacentral:sRNA from 1 species